GAUAGUUUCAGUUUCUCAGUACUUCACCCUCAUCAAAGGUUACAGGAAUUUUCAACAUUUGCUCACUUGGGGAAAUCCAGAAAGCCUCACAGGAUUGCAGGAGGAAAUGAAAAUUAAAAAAUAAACGCAAAGCCCAUCCACCUGUGCUGAAGAGCAAGAGCAGUAAGAAGAGGCACUUGAUCUUGCUAGGGACACAGUUAAAUGACUAUGGUCAGGAUGGAGCAGAGCUACUACUGAAAGGGCUGACUGUGGCUGAUUUUCGAGAGGGGACACAGAAAGUGAUGCAUGGUGAAGAGCCACCACCUUGGUGAAGGACAAAGAGAGAAAAUGCUGUGUUGAGGUUCAGUGAUAAAGUAUGUCUAACAUCACCUUAUCCACUCACCUGUAGACAAGACAGGUGAGGACUCUGAAUGAUGCUGACAUGAAGAUAAUUACAGAGACUCCCAUCUGAAUCCAAGCUUUCAGUUUUCUAGGUUGUAUUCAUUUCAUCACUGAUCGAAUGAUUGACAGCAACAAUAAGAGGAAGGAUUUAAUUGGCUCAAAGUUCAAGGGAUAUCAGUCCAUUAUGAAGGUGAAACAGGAAUCUAUGGCUAUGUGUGUAGUGGAAGGAACUUUGGCCUGUUCAUGACAACCCAGAAGCAAAGAGCAGAGGGCCAAGAGCAAGGAACAAGCUGGACUACUAGAGGAGGGAUUCCAGCAGGAAAUAAAAAAAAACUUGAGGAUGAAAAGAAGUAUCUCCGGAAAGGAAACUGAACCACAGAUGGCAUUGUAAGCUAAGGGUCUAAGAAUAACGCCAUUCUGCCACUCAAACAGAGCUGAACAGGGUCACAUCAAUUGAUAAUGAUUGGGUCCUCCAUCAGAAAACUAAAAAUCUGGAAAGAUGUGCAGUGUGAUCAUUGAAAUCCUGUUUAUCUUCUUAUAAGAUUGUGCUCCAAGAAUAUCAUUGACAUCUCUACCACAAGAGAGGCGUCAACAGGGCUACUCAGAAGAAAGUCCCUUUUCCAGAUAAUCACCAGGAGACAAAUAGACACUGAUCACAGUCUGUUUUAAAAAAUAAUUUAUUUAUUUUUAUUGUUUUAUGUGUGUCAGUGUUUUGCCUGCAUGUAUGUCCAUGUGGGGGUGACAGACCUUGGAGUUAUAGACAGUCAUGAGCUGCCAUAUGGGUGCUGGGAUUUGAACCCAGGUUCUCUGGAAGAGCAGUGCUCUUUAACCUCUGAGAUAUUUCUUCAGCCCCAUACUGAGCACAUUCUUAAAUGGUGGCACACAAUUAGGAACCAAGUUGUCCAGGGAUGUGAUGGCUCUGAAAGACAGGGAAAGCCAGCCUCAUUUGUUUUGGAGACAAUAUAAAGUUCUGGAUUAUAUCAAAAGUGCUCAACCUUUCAGCAAUGGCAUGAUUUGUGGACACUGGCAAUGAGCAACCCUAUCAAUACACUCCAUCAUAAAUCAAGACAGCUGCAUGGAGAUCUAGAGUACCCAUAUACAAUAUCCACAGGAAGAUGGAAGAAGCCAUUAGCAUGGCAAGGAACUGCUCCACUGUUGAAGAAGGAAAUAUUCCAGUUCAUAUGGAUGGAAACUGUAACAGGACAUUUCCAAACUCUAAGGGUUGACACGGACUACAUAGUAAUACGAUGACAACUAAGCACAAUGUAUAGCUUAUGUACUUAUGUAUAAACUAUACAUAAGUAUGUGUUAUGUAUACUUCAUAUAUAAAAAUACAUAACUUUAAAAGGGCUUUAAAUGGUGCUGGGUAACCUAUAG
rnacentral:lncRNA from 1 species